GACAGAGGCCUCGAGCGUUAGGCGGAAUCACUGGGCUUAAAGCGUGUGUAGGCGGAUGCCUAAGUACCUUGUGAAAUCCCACGGCUCAACCGUGGAACGGCUGGGUAUACUGGGCGUCUUGAGCCAGCUAGGGGCGACCGGAACAAACGGUGGAGCGGUGAAAUGCGUAGAUAUCGUUUGGAACGCCUGUGGUGAAAACGGGUCGCUGGGGCUAUGCUGACGCUGAGACACGAAAGCCAGGGGAGCAAACGGG
rnacentral:rRNA from 1 species